AGUUGGAAACGACUGCUAAUACCGCAUAAGCCCACGGCUCGGCAUCGAGCAGGGGGAAAAGGAGCAAUCCGCUUUGAGAUGGCCUCGCGUCCGAUUAGCUAGUUGGUGAGGUAAUGGCCCACCAAGGCGACGAUCGGUAGCCGGACUGAGAGGUUGAACGGCCACAUUGGGACUGAGACACGGCCCAGACUCCUACGGGAGGCAGCAGUGGGGAAUAUUGCACAAUGGGGGAAACCCUGAUGCAGCGACGCCGCGUGGAGGAAGAAGGUCUUCGGAUUGUAAACUCCUGUUGUUGAGGAAGAUAAUGACGGUACUC
rnacentral:rRNA from 1 species